GACGAACGCUGGCGGCGUGCCUAAUACAUGCAAGUCGAGCGGAGUUAGAGAAGCUUGCUUCUCUAACUUAGCGGCGGACGGGUGAGUAACACGUGGGCAAUCUGCCCGUAAGACUGGGAUAACUCCGGGAAACCGGGGCUAAUACCGGAUAAUCCUGACUCUCUCCUGAGAGUCAGUUGAAAGAUGGUUUCGGCUAUCACUUACGGAUGAGCCCGCGGCGCAUUAGCUAGUUGGUAGGGUAAUGGCCUACCAAGGCGACGAUGCGUAGCCGACCUGAGAGGGUGAUCGGCCACACUGGGACUGAGACACGGCCCAGACUCCUACGGGAGGCAGCAGUAGGGAAUCUUCCGCAAUGGACGAAAGUCUGACGGAGCAACGCCGCGUGAGUGAAGAAGGUUUUCGGAUCGUAAAACUCUGUUGUUAGGGAAGAAUACAUACGAGAGUAACUGCUCGUACCCUGACGGUACCUAACCAGAAAGCCACGGCUAACUACGUG
rnacentral:rRNA from 1 species